UGGGGGAUAUUGCACAAUGGGGGGAACCCGUGAUGCAGCGACGCCGCGUGAGUGAAGGAGUACUUCGGUAUGUAAAGCUCUAUCAGCAGGGAAGAAGCAAGACGGUACCUGACCAAGAAGCCCCGGCUAACUACGUGCC
rnacentral:rRNA from 1 species